AAAGAGAGAUCCUGUCUCAGACUUGAUAGGUAUUUGAGGUUGAGGUUGAGAGAACAACGAGGCAUAUUUAUCAAGCUUUAAGCUGGCACUCAGAUGACUGAGGAGAGAAGAGUCACGCAUUCUCCGACCUGCAUGCCUCUCUGCCAGUCGAGCUGCUGAAGUGACCGCACAUCCCUGGCACCAUGGUGGUUAUGACUGUAGCGCUCUGAUCUACCUCUAAAUGAAAAAUGUGCCUCUCUGCCUCUUCAUCGCUUCUCCAAGCACCACAAGCCACAUCCUCCCAAACAUUCUCAGGGUGAAAGCCAGAUCCUGCUUUCAACACAUUGGCUACAUCUCAGGUUGGGAACUUUCCUGUAACUCACGGAGAGACAGACAGCUUGGAGCUAGAUCAGCGCAGAAGGAGAGCUCUUUGGCCAGGAGGGAGAGUACAAUAUGAUAUAGUGUUGCAUGUGUUACAUGGUGUAUUAUGUUUCAAGGAUAUGUUUAUUUUUAUGAAGAAUGACAGCCUCAGGGGAAAACCUGGAUAUCUCCUGGAUACAUCCGUAAAAAAGAUAUAACCUUUGAAUAUUUGUCAUUUUGACACUGAUGUUCGCAUUCUUUUACUGAAUACUUGUUGAAUUUUUUGACAGAAUUAUCAUUUGAACAUGGUUAAGUUUCCCGUGAAUGUCAAAAACAUACACACACAGUCCAGUUUUUAGUUUUUGAGAACUAAACCAUUCAUAGGUAUUUAUUAAGGAUGUAUUUUUUUUCAUAACUUUAACAAUAACAAUAACAGUGAUUGUUGCUUAUUUAAGCAUGAAUAUUUAAUGUUGUAGAGAAAUAUGAAGUAAGAAAAAAAUACGAAGUUUUCUGUGCCUUUACUGUAAAUGCCAAUGUGGCUAAAAUGCACCUGCACUUUUAUUCUGUAAUUAGAAAAGAUGCAUGCAAGUACAGAUUGAUCCCAGCCUUCACUUAAACCUGCAUGAGUUGUCCAGUAAGUAUAUUAUACCAUAUCUAUGCAGGCAUUAUUGUAAUCUGGGGGUAUUGUAAAUGUCUUAGAGUUCAUGAGACUGCAGUGUGAUGCUGAAAGACUUAGGAAAUCAAAAUUGCUUGUUGUAAUGAAAAAAACAAACAUGAUUAGAUGAGGAAAUGCUUUUUGAUAGUUUUAUCUUUUAAACAAGCUGAUAUCAUAAAUUAUCCAAACAACGAGGAAUUAUUGAAUCAAAUUUAGGAAGAGGGACAUUUCCUCCUCAGUUAAAGUAAUUCAAAGACUUAACAAGCUUAGAAGGCUAACACAUUUACACUUAUUAAAGAUGCCUAUCAAGCAUGAUCAGCCUCAAAAUCCAACAAAAACAUCCGCUGUCCAGCCUGGAUCUGAUUGUCAUCUCUGGAUCUCUUUAUACUGCAACAUAGCCAGAUUUUAUUAUCAUCCUCAUCUGUGCUUGAUUAUAUAUCUGCUAUUUCCUUCCACAAGGCAUGGGAUUUCUAUUUUGAUAUGUGUUUUAGAAAUGUAGAGUUACGUGUGUGUGCGUGUGUGUAUGUGGCUUGUAGUCAAGGUUAAUAGUCCCACUGCUCUCUCAUCAUGGAAAUCUGCAAGUCAUUAUCCAAACUGCGCUGUAGUAUAACUAACAACAAGACUCCUGAGUACGGAAAUGGCACAUGCAACUGAUUUCCACACAUUAAAUACAGUAUAUAUUUCAUAUUUGUGGUCCCUUUUCUCAUCAUAUGUAGUCUGCAUUUGUUUCCAUUCUCUAUUCUGUUUCUAUUAUCUCAGUAGGUUUUUAUAUCUAUGUGGGGGCUAUUUGAAAUCUCUUUGCCACGUGGAUUCAUGUUAACACUCUGUUUGUCUUUGCUGUAUCCUGGUAUUUUUCACCACUGAGAUGACUCAGUUUCCACAUGGGAUUUAUUAAAGAUUCAACGUACUGUAUCUUAGGAUGACCUUUUUUAGGCAUGAGGCUGAAUAAAACAUUUCAGCAGUGACUGACAAACGGAAUUUUCAGCUUGUAUUGUAUUUGAUGUGUCAGACAAAAAAUAGAAACAAUGCUAAUGUCUUCCAUUUUGUUCAAAGAUCUCCUUGUCAUUCUUCCGCAGCUUCCCUCACACGUUCCCAGGGUUUCACUGCACUACAGUACAACCAUUAGCAUACCAGUAACAAAACUGCACAUGGAAUUGAUUUGGGUUAGUGCAUCGCUCCUAUCUGAACAUUCCUCUCCCCGUCUUUAUUCGAAAAUAAUGCAAUGCAGGAAUGUACUUUGUCCCAUUGAGUUUGGGGAUGCACUUCAUUGCAAAUGGCUCUGCUGAAGUAACCACAACUCCACCCACAUCACACGCUGCUUAAAUCAAUUGCAUUUAACAGUAUAUCUGCUAUUCUCUGCAGUGUUUCUCUCUACUUGCUUUUAAACAUA